GUCCACGCCCUAAACGAUGUCUACUAGUUGUCGGGUUUUAAUUAACUUGGUAACGCAGCUAACGCGUGAAGUAGACCGCCUGGGGAGUACGGUCGCAAGAUUAAAACUCAAAGGAAUUGACGGGGACCCGCACAAGCGGUGGAUGAUGUGGAUUAAUUCGAUGCAACGCGAAAAACCUUACCUACCCUUGACAUGGCAGGAAUCCCGGAGAGAUUUGGGAGUGCUCGAAAGAGAACCUGCACACAGGUGCUGCAUGGCUGUCGU
rnacentral:rRNA from 1 species